UCAUCAUGCCCCUUAUGUUCCUGGGCUACACACGUGCUACAAUGGCCGGUACAGACGGACGCAAAGGCCGCGAGGUGGAGCAAAUCCUAAAAAGCCGGUCUCAGUUCGGAUUGCAGGCUGCAAUUCGCCUGCAUGAAGUCGGAAUCGCUAGUAAUCGCAGGUCAAGCAUACUGCGGUGAAUACCGUUCCCGGGCCUU
rnacentral:rRNA from 1 species